GGAAGUAAGAGUCGUAACAAGGUCUCCGUAGGUGAACCUGCGGAGGGAUCAUUACAGAGUUCGUGCCCUCACGGGUAGAUCUCCCACCCUGUGUUAUUAUACCUUUGUUGCUUUGGCGGGCCGCCCUCGGCUACCGGCCCCGGCUGGUACGCGCCCGCCAGAGGACCCCAAACUCUGAAUGUUAGUGUCGUCUGAGUACUAUACAAUAGUUAAAACUUUCAACAACGGAUCUCUUGGUUCUG
rnacentral:misc_RNA from 1 species